AGAGUUUGAUCAUGGCUCAGGACGAACGCUGGCGGCGUGCUUAACACAUGCAAGUCAACGAGAAAAGGGUAGCAAUAUCCUGAGUAAAGUGGCGCACGGGUGAGUAAUAUGUAAGUAAUCUACCUGUAGAUUUGGAAUAACUCCGCGAAAGCGGGACUAAUACCGAAUGAUGCAGCGGCACCGCAUGGUGAUGUUGUUAAAGUUGCAGCAAUGUAACGUCUAUAGAUGAGCUUGCCUCUGAUUAGCUAGUUGGUAAGGUAACGGCUUACCAAGGCUACGAUCAGUAGCUGGUCUGAGAGGAUGAUCAGCCACACUGGAACUGAGACACGGUCCAGACUCCUACGGGAGGCAGCAGUGAGGAAUAUUGGGCAAUGCCCGAAAGGGUGACCCAGCAACGCCGCGUGGAGGAUGAAUGCCGUAAGGUUGUAAACUCCUGUGAGAAGGAACGAAAACUCAGGUUUCGUAAGGGACCUGACUUGACUGUACCUUCAGAGGAAACCCCGGCUAACUACGUGCCAGCAGCCGCGGUAAUACGUAGGGGGUUAGCGUUGUCCGGAUUUACUGGGUAUAAAGGGCGCGUAGGCGGGUUUGUAAGUCAGUGGUGAAAUCCUACAGCUUAACUGUAGAACUGCCUUUGAUACUGCAAAUCUUGAGUUCAGAAGAGAGAGAUGGAAUUCCAGGUGUAGUGGUGAAAUACGUAGAUAUCUGGAAGAACACCAGUGGCGAAAGCGAUCUCUUGGUCUGUAACUGACGCUGAGGCGCGAAAGCGUGGGUAGCAACAGGAUUAGAUACCCUGGUAGUCCACGCUGUAAACGAUGAAUACUAGAUGUUGGGGGUCCCAUAGGGAUCAGUGUCGCAGCAAACGCAUUAGUAUUCCACCUGGGGGAGUACGAUCGCAAGUUGAAACUCAAAUGAAUUGACGG
rnacentral:rRNA from 1 species